rnacentral:rRNA from 1 species
CAGCAGCCGCGGUAACACGAAGGGUGCAAGCGUUAAUCGGAAUUACUGGGCGUAAAGCGUGCGUAGGCGGUUCGGAAAGAAAGAUGUGAAAUCCCAGGGCUCAACCUUGGAACUGCAUUUUUAACUACCGGACUAGAGUAUGUCAGAGGGAGGUGGAAUUCCACGUGUAGCAGUGAAAUGCGUAGAGAUGUGGAGGAACACCGAUGGCGAAGGCAGCCCCCUGGGCCAAUACUGACGCUCAUGCACGAAAGCGUGGGGAGCAAACAGGAUUAGAUACCCCAGUAGUCCCUGUCUCUUAUAC